rnacentral:tRNA from 1 species
GGCCGGUUGGCGCAAUGGUAGCGCGCAGCCCUCCUAAGGCUGAGGCUGUGGGUUCGAGUCCCACAUCGGUCGU